rnacentral:rRNA from 1 species
CAAAAAAAUCCCAUAUGUAUACUAAGGCGCCCGUACCGGAAACCGACACAGGUGGGUGGGCAUAAAUGUGCCAAGGCGCGUGAGUGAAACCUCGUUAAGGAACUCUGCAAUCUAGCCCCGUAACUUCGGAAGAAGGGGUGCCCACUUUUAGUGGGUCGCAGUGAAAUGGGUCAACCGACUGUUUAUCAAAAACACAGCACUCUGCUAACUCGAAAGAGAACGUAUAGGGUGUGACACGUGACCAAUGCGGAAAGAUUACGGUAAGUGGUUAGCGCAAGCGAAGCUACGAACCCAAGUCCCCGUGAAUGUCGGCCGUAACAAUAACGGUCCUAAGGUAGCGAAAUUCCUUGUCGGGUAAGUUCCGACCUGCACGAAUCGUGUAACGAGUUGACCGCUGUCUCAACGAGGAGCUCAGCGAAGUUGUAAUGGCGGUGAAGAUGCCGCCUACCCGCAGCAGGACGGAAAGACCCUAUGCACCUUUACUGUACGCUGUUACUGUGUUUUCGGUUUUCAUGCUUAGCGUAAGUGGGAGACUUUGAUACCAUCCUUUCGGGGAUGGUUGAGUCGCCAAUGAAACACCACCCUUGGGGACUGGAAACUCUAACCCUUGCCCGUAACCCGGGAAGGAGACACUGGCAGCCGGUCAGUUUUACUGGGGCGGUAUCCUCCUAAAGAGUAACGGAGGAGUACGAAGGUUGGCUCAGCCCGGUUGGCAAUCGGGUGACGAGUAUAUGGAUAUAAGCCAGCCUAACUGUGAGACCUACAAGUCGAGCAGAUGCGAAAGCAGGUCCAAGUGAUCCGGUGGUUCGAAAGUGGAAUCGCCAUCGCUCAACGGACAAAAGGUACGCUAGGGAUAACAGGCUGAUCGAGUCCAAGAGCUCAUAUCGACGACUCGGUUUGGCACCUCGAUGUCGGCUCAUCACAUCCUGGGGCCGGAGAAGGUCCCAAGGGUCCGGCUGUUCGCCGGUUAAAGUGGUACGCGAGCUGGGUUCAGAACGUCGCGAGACAGUUCGGUCCUUAUCCGCUGUGGGCGCAGGAAAGUUGAGGGGUUUAAACCUUAGUACGAGAGGACCGGGUUUAACGAACCUCUGGUGUUCCAGUUGUCGUGUCAACGGCAGUGCUGGGCAGCUACGUUCGGAAGAGAUAAGCGCUGAAAGCAUCUAAGCGCCAAGCUCCUCCCAAGAUUGACUUUCCCUGAAGAGUCGUGGUAGACCACCACGUUGAUAGGGCAUCGGUAGAAGCGCAGUAAUGCGUGCAGCUGAAUGCUACUAAUAACUCGUCCGGCUUGAUCAA